AGCUGGAAAAGGGAGGUUGGUGCCAUAUUGUGGAGGGCCUUGAAUGCUGGGAGAGAGACUGCCUAAUGCUGUAGGCAAUGGGGAGCCACUGAAGGUUCUGCAGAAAGGGUAAAGUCAUCAGAGCUGAGCUUCAAUGUGGUCUCUCUGGCAGUGGUGUGACAAUGGGAUUGAAGAGGGAUGAGGUCACAGAGAAGGCCCGGGAUAGUCCUGAGUCUGAGCAAAGCCAUGCGCAGUGGACAGUGACCCCACAGGAGGCAAAGAGUGGGUCCCCGAGAGCUGGCAUUCACCUCUAGGAAAAAGAGAGGAUUGGCUCUUGGGGCCAGGCAAUGAGGCUGGACCCACCAUGGCUCUUCUGUGGUUCCUCAGUUUCCCUCUGGGAUGGAGCACGCGUGCUGGGGAGGUGCCAGGUGUUAGAAACGAGCCUGAGGAGUGCAGGGCCAGGCUGGGCCAGGCUGCGAGAUCACAGUGUGUGGCCUGAGCAGUCUUCGCUGAAGACAGAAAUGAUUGCCGAGACCUGGCCGGGAAAGGUGCCCUCUGUGUCACAGACAGAGCACAGUAGAGGUGAAAGGGCAGAUCUGGGAGAAGGUGGAGAGAGAAGGAGGGGGAGCCCUGGGGAUGGCAGAAGGUUGGGAGCUUCCUUAAGAGGUGAGUGGUGGCAGGGAAGUGGGGGGGAAGGUUUGCAGGAGUGAGGGAGAAGAGGAGAGAAAGGGAGGGAAGAUGAGAGAAACAGGUAGCUGAUAAGGGAGCAAAAGUCGCAGCCCGGAACCCUAAGGCUGGGGUCCCAGAGCCAGCUCUGGCUGCCUGGCCUUGGUGGGUGGAGCCCUUCUGCGCCUCAGCCUCUCACUGGCUGGGAGGGGAUGACACAACAGGACCUGCAGGGCCCCAUGAAUUCUGACUUCCCUGUGGGUCUGGCCAUACUUAAAGGCUUGAUGUUCUCCGCCCCCCGUCAUUCCCUUGCAUACUUCCAUGCCUUCAGCCAUGCUAUUCUCUUUGCUUGAAAUGCCUUGCCUUCCUUGUCUUCCUGGCAAAGCCCUAUUCAUCUACCGAGGCCCAUCCUUGUUGGAAAGUUGCCUCCCUUUAGCAUUCGCAGGCCCUCCCCAGGCAUAACUGACAGCUCCUCGUCACUCAGCUGGCGUUGUGUUAUAAUGGAGUCAGUGAAGAGCAAGCGACUUAUAAGUCAGACAACGGGAUCUAAACUCUGCCUCUGCCCCUCUUAGACAAGCCGCCUGGAGCAAGG
rnacentral:lncRNA from 1 species